AGUGAACGCUGGCGGUAGGCCUAACACAUGCAAGUCGAACGGCAGCACAGUAAGAGCUUGCUCUUACGGGUGGCGAGUGGCGGACGGGUGAGGAAUACAUCGGAAUCUACUUUUUCGUGGGGGAUAACGUAGGGAAACUUACGCUAAUACCGCAUACGACCUACGGGUGAAAGCAGGGGAUCUUCGGACCUUGCGCGAUUGAAUGAGCCGAUGUCGGAUUAGCUAGUUGGCGGGGUAAAGGCCCACCAAGGCGACGAUCCGCAGCCGGUCUGAGAGGAUGGUAGGCCGCAUGGGAGCUGAGACACGGUCCAGACGCCUACGGGAGGCAGCAGUGGGGAAUAUUGGACAAUGGGCGCAAGCCUGAUCCAGCCAUACCGCGUGGGUGAAGAAGGCCUUCGGGUUGGAAAGCCCUUUUGUUGGGAAAGAAAAGCAGCAGGUUAAUACCCCGCUGUUCUGACGGUACCCAAAGAAUAAGCACCGGCUAACUUCGUG
rnacentral:rRNA from 1 species